AGUUUAUUAGGGUACACAAUAUAUCACCACAGACGCUCAGCUGUGCAAAAAGCUAGUUCUUGAUCUGCUGUAACUAUCUUGCCUGUAAAACCAAGAUGAUGUUGCUUCUCAUCCAGGUGAUCUGAUAAUUUAUUGAAAGCUCUUUAGCGCCAUGCAUGGCUUGACAUAAAUGACAUGCAGAAUGUCCCUCCCUCCACAGGCUCCCAAAUGCUCCUGAAAUCAGCAGUGUGGUUCAUAUCUUUUAGAACUUCUCUCACCUUUCCGAGGGUGUGUAUUGUGAUAGCCAAGCACUUCUGACCUGUUUGGAAAGGGACUUGGGUAAUUUAUACAUUACUGGGCUCCACUCAAAACAGGAGUAUGGUGGCUCAGCCCUAUGAUUACAUCUGGCUGUUAGAAUGUGUUAGCCUUGCCCCACCCUGGUUUGGGGAAUCCAGAGCUACCCUUAGACCCAGGCUUAUGGGGGCACUAAAAGCAGAGCAGACUUGGCAACCCAUUCUAUUAUCCUAUGAAGGGGAAACAUGCCAGCUGAAAGGUCAGGAACCCAAUUAUAAAGUAUUCCCAGAUAGCUGAGCUCCAGGCAUACAAGGUGAGAUAAAAUCCAUUAGCCUGAAAUCUCGGGUUAGUCACAGCCCCCACCCUUCUUAGAGGCAUGGGUGGUGGCCAGUCCCUUCCACCUGCCUGGGGACUUCAGUGCAUAAAAUGCGGUGAGGGAGGAAAAUGCUCGUCACUGUUUCCGGUGGGAGCAUCCACUGUGGGUGCUGCCCAGGGCUCAUUCUGGACAUCAUCCGUGGCUGCCUCAGUUAAAGGGUCGGACUGGUUGCUCCCCAGGAGGCUGAGAGGGCGUAACUAGUACAGAAAUAGAGAAAUGGAUGCCUGUAUGCGUGUAGGCACACUCAGCUACCCCACUCUGAAAAGCUAUCGACAAGUAUGUUCGAAGGUUUCGGCAGCAUGGACAGACAUGCACCGCUGGUCACUGAAACUGGAUCCUCCGCUUCAGUCCCGGAAGGAGGGGGGCUGAUUUGGGGGAGGGAGAGUGUCUUAGGGUUUCAGUUGUUUUGAAGAGACACCAUGACCAUGGUAACUCUUCAAAGGGAAGCUGGCUUACAGUCCAUAGCGGGAUGCAGGGUGGCCCACAGGCAGACAAGACACUAGAGAGGGAGCUGAGAGGUCUACAUCCAGGUCAGCAGGCAGUGAGACACGGGGCCUGACUUGAGCAUCUGAGACCUCAAAGCCCACCCCCCCAGUGACCCACUUCCUCCAAGGCCACACCUCCUAAUAGUACCAUUCCCGAUGAUCCUAUGGGGGCCAUUUUCAUCCAAACCACCAAGAAAGCCUGCCUCUUCAGCUGUCCUUUGGCCCAGUAAGGGGAAAACCACCCUAAUGUAGUCAGAAGAGGACUCGUUGGACUAGUAGCCUUUGGGGGUAACGGAUGAAAGGCAGAAUGAACACACGGGUAGUAAGGGCUUGGGAAAACACUUCCAAUGAUGAAGCCUGGGGUAGAUGAGUGGAAAACACCCGUGACUGAGAAGCCGGGUGGAGAAGUAGCUCCCAGUGUUUUCACUGGGGGGUGGAAUCAUGCAUGCAAGGACCAUAGGUUGGUGGAUGUGAUGUGCACUUCUUCCUGAGGGCCAAGGCUGUCCCUGGAGACUUUCACCAUACCUGGCCUUUGAACAGCUUCUUGCUGAGUAGAGCCCUUGGAGUCCUGAGUUCUGGGCAGGGGGCAACAGGAAGCUGGCAUGCUAUCAGGACAGAUUCUGGGUUCUUGUGGUCAUCUCUGAGCAUGUCACAGAUGGAUACUGUAUCCUCCAGAAGGAGAGAGGACCCAGACCCUUAUGUACUGAGGCUACUUCACGUAGGUCAGGCUAAUUCUGCUUGUCUGCAUCACCUGCUUCACUCAUGUCAGCCCCGUGUGGCAAGUUUUAUUCUUGUCAUUUGUGGAUCAGUAGAUGCAUUUAGGGAGGCAAAAAGACUUUGUGAAGGUUUCCCACGCAACAUAUGGGAGGCAGCAUUUGAACCCAGAGCUAUAUGAUUCUUAAACUACCCAUAUACCCUGCUGCCUGGAUAUGCCCUGUUAAAUCAGAAUUCUUAAAACACUAACCAAGGACCAACCCAGUACAUGUUGGUGGAAUCCUGGAUAGGUUGAGAGUCUGAGAAUUUGGAGCAGAGAACUGUGAGACUUAAGGGGCUAAGAUUCUCAAGCCUGAAGAAGAGAAUGGUAAGAGUCAUGGUCUUCUAGUGUCUGUGACCCAGGAGACCAACUCUUCAUCUGAAUGACCCUCCUGACAGCUUUGUCCACACUGAAAACUCUUUUGAACUACCUGACGUGGGCUGCGUUUUCCUAACUGCAUCCUGAUGGAUGUUGAGCCAACACCAUGAUCAUGAUGGAUUUCAUUGUGACACUUAUACAUGUCACAUGCACGGAGAGUGAAUAUGAAUGAGAGUGUCAGCUUCUUCAGAAUCUUGCCAACAAUCUGUUAUUAAGCUUCGUCAACUUGGCCAACAUAAUAGGGGCUGAAGUCAACCAUGAAUAUAUGGCUUUCCUCUUCUCAUCACCAGACCAGAGACAAAGAUGUUCCAGGCCGCGUUUAUUCUCUGUGCACACCUGGCUGCCCAGCAAUGUUGCAUGCUCAGUGGGAGGGAAGGAUGGAGCGGGGUGGGAGUAGGGGGGUUAGGGGGUGGACUUGCCUUUGU